rnacentral:rRNA from 1 species
CCGACACUGGUGCGCGAGAUGAGUAUUCUAAGGCGCUUGAGAGAACUCAGGAGAAGGAACUCGGCAAAUUGACACCGUAACUUCGGAAGAAGGUGUGCCCUAGUAGUGUGAAGUGAACAACGGAGCAUGAAUGGGUUGCAAAAAAUCGGUGGCUGCGACUGUUUAUUAAAAACACAGCACUCUGCAAACACGAAAGUGGACGUAUAGGGUGUGACGCCUGCCCGGUGCUGGAAGAUUAAAUGAUGGGGUGCAAGCUCUUGAUUGAAGUCCCAGUAAACGGCGGCCGUAACGAUAACGGUCCUAAGGUAGCGAAAUUCCUUGUCGGGUAAGUUCCGACCUGCACGAAUGGCGUAACGAUGGCCACACUGUCUCCUCCUGAGACUCAGCGAAGUUGAAAUGUUUGUGAUGAUGCAAUCUCCCCGCGGAAAGACGGAAAGACCCCAUGAACCUUUACUGUAGCUUUGUAUUGGACUUUGAACAGAUCUGUGUAGGAUAGGUGGGAGGCUUUGAAGCAGGGUCGCUAGAUCUUGUGGAGCCAACGUUGAAAUACCACCCUGGUGUGUUUGAGGUUCUAACCUAGGUCCAUUAUCUGGAUCGGGGACAGUGCAUGGUAGGCAGUUUGACUGGGGCGGUCUCCUCCCAAAGCGUAACGGAGGAGUUCGAAGGUACGCUAGUUACGGUCGGACAUCGUGACGAUAGUGCAAUGGCAUAAGCGUGCUUAACUGCGAGACUGACAAGUCGAGCAGAUGCGAAAGCAGGACAUAGUGAUCCGGUGGUUCUGUAUGGAAGGGCCAUCGCUCAACGGAUAAAAGGUACUCUGGGGAUAACAGGCUGAUACCGCCCAAGAGUUCAUAUCGACGGCGGUGUUUGGCACCUCGAUGUCGGCUCAUCUCAUCCUGGGGCUGUAGCCGGUCCCAAGGGUAUGGCUGUUCGCCAUUUAAAGAGGUACGUGAGCUGGGUUUAAAACGUCGUGAGACAGUUUGGUCCCUAUCUUCCGUGGGCGCUGCAGAUUUGAGGAAGCCUGCUCCUAGUACGAGAGGACCGGAGUGGACACACCUCUGGUGUAUCGGUUGCCACGCCAGUGGCAUAGCCGAGUAGCUAAGUGUGGAAGAGAUAACCGCUGAAAGCAUCUAAGCGGGAAACUCGUUUCAAGAUGAGAUCUGCCGGGGCCUUGAGCCCCCUGAAGAGUCGUUCAAGACCAGGACGUUGAUAGGUCAGGUGUGGAGGCGCAGUAAUGCGUUAAGCUAACUGAUACUAAUUGCUCGUGCGGCUUGACC